rnacentral:rRNA from 1 species
UACGUAGGGUGCGAGCGUUGUCCGGAAUUACUGGGCGUAAAGAGCUCGUAGGUGGUUUGUCGCGUUGUUCGUGAAAACUCACAGCUCAACUGUGGGCGUGCGGGCGAUACGGGCAGACUAGAGUGCGGUAGGGGUGACUGGAAUUCCUGGUGUAGCGGUGAAAUGCGUAGAUAUCCGGAGGAACACCAAUGGCGAAGGCAGUGUCCUGGGAAGUACCUGACGCUCAGGUGCGAAAGCUAGGGGAGCGAACAGG